rnacentral:misc_RNA from 1 species
GUGAAUCAUCAAAUUUUUGAACGCAAAUUGCACUCUCCUCUGAUAGUAUGGCUGUUUGAGGGUCAGCCUCUAAAAAUCGACAACGUUGCUGUUUCUCGUUGGCGUUCGUCGUAAAUUGGGGCGUCUUAACUCCUUUUGAUUUAAGCGACUUAAAAUUUUCUUUUGGUUCCGUGAACGUUUCUAAGAUCUAUUUCUUGACGCGUUUAAGGUAUC